CUGGAGAAAUUAUCAAGUAAGCAUCAUAUUUAAUGAAUUUAACUAUGGUGGAAUUGUGGGAAAAAUUUUCCUGUACAGGGAUGAUGACUCAGGAAAUGAUGCAGACAGAGAUAGAAAAACAAAUGUCAUUGUAACACAGGUAUUUAAAUUGUAUUUAAAUAUACAGACUUUUGAAUUUAUAGAAAAUUUUCAAGUAUGAAAUUGUUAUGCAACCUAAAAGUCUCAAAGUUCAAAUAAUUUUUUGAGUGUUACAUUUAUAAAUUGUGUAUUAAUGCAAUUCAAAUUUAUUCCUAAAAAUAUUUUAACUAAAGGAGAAACUCAUGGGGCCUGAUAUUAGAGUUUUAGGAAAUGUACAUAUGGGAUAAACUUACAUAGGCUGAAAUUAAGUGAAACCUUGCUUCUCAAUGUUGAGAUGGAUUAGCCAUUUUAACAUAAAGUAGAAGCUUCUAAGAAAUGCAGAAUCUCAACUUCCCCACCCUCAUUCCACCUACCCCACCCACUCAAUCAGAUCCUGCAUUUCAAUAAGAUUUAUUUAGUGCAAUAACUUUUUUACUUAUCAAAGUUGAGAAGCACUAGACUAAAUGAUGAAGAGAAAAGAGGCUGCUUAGGAUAGGGAAAUAAAAGGUUAAAGUUAACUUAAGUAUUAUGAUACUUUCUUAGCGUGUCAUACAGUUAGUUACCUGUCAUCUUUCCUCAUCAGUUCAACUUGUUUUAUGGGGAUGUUUAUGUGGGAAAAUAUCUUUGCUUUUGUAAUUUAUGUGGGAAAAUAUCUUUGCUUUUGUAAUUUUACUUAAGUAAAAUCUGGGCUCCUUUUAUUUCAACUAGCUUUUCCACUAUUGUUGUUAUGAUAAGUACAGGCUACUUAUAAACAUGAUUAGUUCAAUGAGAACUUUUAGAGUAUUGCUGACCUAAAUCUGGACAUCUACACAAUCAUUAAUUCUUACCAAAAUGCUACAAGGCAAUAUAAGCAUAAUUAGCCUCCCUGAUCCCUGAACAUAGCCUAAUAUCAUUCACUCAAUCAGAAUCAUACUGGAAAUGAUAUAACCAACUAUAGCAGGUAGUAGAUGUCCAGUCACACUACUAUUGCUUUUAGCCAGAUGUCUCUGGUCCUUGUGAGUUCCUUUAGUCCUAUAUGGUGAAAUAGCAACAGAGAGAACCAACUCACUCACUCAAGGCAGAUUUCUUAUUUCUAGAUUUGUCCCGAAACCAACAGAUCUAGCUCUCUCUUUAAACACCAUGAAAUUUAAACAAACGAAACUCACAAAAUAAAACAGCAGCAGCAGCAGCAGCAACAACAAUGAAAUCUUAAAAUAGUAAAUAUAAGUUUCAAGCAUCGAAACCCCCUCUCCAACCAAAAUCUCUCUUCUUCAAUAAAGUUCCCAGGAGGAACCCAAUUUCUAGAUUGGUAUCCAAUAUUUGGGAUCAUUUGAUUCAAGACUGAAGUACUUAAAAUGGCUUUUAAAGAAGGAAAAAAGGUUAGAUUUCCAGAGAAAAGUGUAACAUUUUUUAAGUUGAACAUUAUGAGGGAUUUGAUGGGGGCAGCUUUGCAAGUAGAACUGGAGACUGGUCCACCGUUUAGCCUUUUUACAAAAGACUGCAAAGGUUGUUUGUUUCCAAACACCAAGAAGUUACCAAGUUCACCAGUCCAAAUGCAAAUGACUCACACUAGGAACCCUAAUAGUGCUGCUAUUUGCAAAGGGGUGGGGCUGAGAUGAUGCAGGACCCUAUUUUCCCAGGUGGCAUCUUAAGUAUGGUUGAUUCUACCUUCAGCCCCACAUUGAAAAGUACAGUGUAAACACAGCUAAGGGACCGCCUCCUUCAAAUUACACACAAGGCACACCUACUUAUAGGAGGUGUUGUGAAAGCCAGGUGGGGCUUUGUCUUUCAAGUCCCUGCAUCCAAGAAUAAGCAUGCUCUGUACCAAAAAAAAAAAAAGAAAAAGAAAAAAAGAAAAAAAAAGCAAGGGUGAUGCAACUGCAUUCAUUGUCCCUAAAGGGAGAACAUGCACUAACUCUCAGAUCCAAGGAUAAAGGGAAUCCCCCUUUAAGAAAAGACGUUGGCAUUAUGUGGGGAUUGGGAGCAUGCCAGAACAACCACACUUUUUUACAAAAGAGAGAAAGAGAAAAAAAGUUAAGACCCAUCUGUCUUAUUUCAGUCUCUUUCUUCAGAACUGACAACUUUAAUCAACAGGUUGCUUUCAGAGUAUUGCUGGACAUCUUGACUUUCUGCCAUGAAAUGCUAUGGGAAUUCUGAGAGUUGAGAGCCAACACCCCACUAGACACCAGUGCUGCAUAACCACGCUUUUAAUAGACCCCAGAGCUGUGGUGACGGCAUGCCCUUCCCAGUUUUUCCACAGAUGGUGCUCCUGAAAUUUUCCAUAGUCAGUGUAUUCUUGUGGUUAAUUAGUUAUCUGAGCAAUUUCCAUUGUAGAAAGAGUAUCUCUACAUAAUUAAACCCAUCUUAGGACCAAACUGCUGGGCUUCAAUGUCAUUAAUUCAGAAAGGCUAAAAUGAAAAUGAGAUGAAUAAUUCUCACCUGCUGAAGGGACCGCACUAGAUUAAAUCCUAUCCUCUGAAAUACAUAGAACAUUAAAUUUAGAAAAACGAGAGGUGAAAACAGGUGGUGGAAGAAACUGGAAAGGUAAGUUGCCUCUAGAGACCAAAAAAUAACACUCUUUUUCAAACUAUUAUCAAGAAAUCUUGGGGGAAAGAUAAAAUUAGCAAGAGAAGGCUAAUAGCUCUCUGUUACUCACCUUUUAUGAAACCAUUUUCAGGGAUCAGUUUGUUAAAUUCCACUGAAACGCGGAGGUACACAGCACAGCCCUUCUUCUGGGAUGCACAGUCAUGCCAUACAGAAGGGUGUGGGUAGAGACACCAAAACAUGUGUGGACCUGCAACCCUUUCUGUAGAAACUCAGCAUUCUGAGUAGUAAGAAGGAUUAACCUUGUACGCACAUGGAGAAUACUGGUGGCUCCACACAUCCAGUUGUCUUUCAGGUUAUUUUUGCAUCCCACUCUAUAAUUUCUUUUAAUUACUUACUGUAAAGCACAGGAAAGUGCUCAUUACUUGUAGCUUAAUGCAGGAGGAAAUAUAAUUGAAUAUGUUCUUCUAGCCACUGCUCUACCCCAGCUCCCAGCUCUUCUGUAGUGUCACUGUUCAUCUCAACAGCAUGAGUAAGGCAGUUUCCAGGCCCUGUGCAUAAUGAGCCAUGUGGACCCUAUUCAAGAAACUGGCUGUACUCCAGAAUCACUAUAAAAUAUAAGGAAAAUAUUAACAUCUUAGAUGACAAAAGAUCCAUAUGGCUGGCCAGAAAAUAUCCACAUCAUUUAAGCCAUUAGAAUGAACCUAUAUGGAAACAUUCAAUUUGGCGGUACUGUGAACAACAGGACUGUGAAAACAUCUGUUUGUCUCCACCCAUUUUCACUAAACACUGGUUCCUAUAGAAGACAUGCGAACUCAAAUACCAACAUAUUUCAUCUGAGCAUGGGACAGGGACUCCAUUUUUACAUAGUUGCUAUAAUAAAUACAAUAUUUGCUGGUGAUAAGAUUUUGGAAGAUGCUCGGGGCAGCUGGAAAAAUAAGUAAAAUGUUUCUCUUUGUAUUAACCUUGAUAAAAAAAAAUAGCUAACAUUUAUUAAUGGUGAGGUAGAUAAUUUGAUUAUCCACCACUUAUAGCUGAGGAAACUGAGGCCCAGAGAGUUUCGGUGGAUUCCCUAAGAUCACAUACCCAUCAUGUGGUGGAGAGGGAAUAUGAACCAGUGCUGGCUUGCUAUGCCUCUUUCCAUAUGGGGUCAGACAUGGAUGUGGUGUCUUAUUUGUGAGGGAGGUCUACUUGGCAGAGAUAUCCUUCAGACCCUGUAUGCCAGUUUUAUAUUUAUUUAAACAAAGCCCCAUAUGAGCAUUUCUGAUAAGCAGUUUGUUUACACACUAAUUCCACAGAGGUUAAAUAUAAUCCUAAUGUUUCUUUGUUGCUACUCUGUUCCCAGUAUUGAAUUAUUACCACAAGGUACCAACCAUACACGCAUACUUAAUAGGGCAUCGUGUCAAAACUAUGCAUGAGGGUCAUUUGUUUGAGAUGUCGGAACAUUUUCCCCUGAGAAGAUCUCAUUGGGCAUUGAAACAGAACCACAUGCUUUUCAGACCAGCAACCGCGACUACCAAAUACUCUGCUGUCAACUCUACUUGAUGCCCAACAGAAUCCCUUCAAAGCCUGGUGGUCUAACACCCUAUGCUACAUGACUUGUGAUCCACCCAUUUGUCGUGUUCUUUGGGAAUGUGCCUGAGGGGCUGAGAUGUGACUUGAAAAGAAUGGUAGAACAAGAUAAUCUCAAAUUUAUUAUCAAGGAAUAGUUCAGACAACUACUUCAGACGACAGAGACAGCAGAACAGAUGGUCCGGUGUGGAUAGAGCAUCAGACACUCACAGACUGUGCCAACAAGAGCCAUCGAGUCAAAACAGCCAAAGGAAGGAGGAUCAUGGAUUGGGUUCUCUCACACCAAACUGAUGCCCAGAGGCCCUUGGCAUGAAUAACAAAGGCAACCAGUCCCACAAGCCAUACUGAGUUAAUACAAAACCUAUACCUGGGCUGACAUCCCAAAUAUGUGUGGCAAGUUAGAUGAUGAUGGCACAAAAGACAGAACACCUUUGCUUCUAGCCAUUGUCAGCUCUUGGUAGACAGCAGACUUUUAGAGGAGCAGCUGCAAGGAGCCUGAGAACAAAACUGGAAAUGCCUGUUAUGAAAGCCUUCACAGGAAAUUCUGCAAGUGCCAACAUGGGUCCAUUCUGUGUGUGUCACUAGAGCUGGUGCAAGCCCAUGACCAUGGUGAGGCACUGUUUCCACUGGAACUAAUCUGAUACCUGCACCAGCUCUUGGAACUGUGCAGUGUUCCCACUGCAAACUACCGAUGAGGUAAAUAACUUCUCACCUCCUAUUUCUCAUCUCAUCUCACACACUCUGUUUGAUGAGGCUAUGGAGAAACACAUAUUUUCAUACACUAAUGGUGGGAGUACAAACAAUUCAAGCCUUUUGCAGGACAAUUAGGCAAUAUCUAUCAAAAUUAUACAUGAUUUUUCCUGCUAGCCCAGCAAUUCUACUUCUGGGAAUAAACUGACAGAUAUAGUUGCAUAUAUACAAAAUGAUGGAAAGCUCUCUGGAAUAUAUUAGUAAGUGAUAAAACAAGGUGUAAAAUAGUGUAUAUAUGGCUACUACUUUUUGUUUUAAAAAUGGGGGAAAAUGGCAGAGCUUGCGGUGAGCCGAGAUCGUGCCACUGCACUCCAGCCUGGGCAACAGAGCAAGACUCUGUCCCCAAAAAAAUAAAAGUGUGUGUGUGGGGGGCGGGAAUAAUGGUACAUAUUCAUUUUUACCUGUAUCUAUAUAAAACACACUAUCAAGGAUUCACAAGAAACUAAUACAAAUGAUCAUCUUAUAGAUGGUAUGUAUUGGGGGAUACUGGGGUGAGCAACAUAUAAGUGGGGCAAGACUUUUCAGUGUAAACUUCCUUGAAAUUUUAUUUUGAUUUUUGAAUAAUGUAAAUUAACUGUCAAAUAAUUAAAUUAAAAAUAACCAAUUUUUUAACCAAACAUUUAAUCUAGUGGCUUUACUUUUGACACAAGACAAUCUCCACCGAACCACCAAAUCUCCACCAAUCACCAAAAACAGAGAUUUACACCAGUUCGUUUGCUAGUUUUUCCUGGUAGUGACUACAAUUAAGAAGUCCUGUGGGUGCCAUCUCAGUUUGGGAGAUAUUUCCCUAGAAGAAAUUGAUUCAAGGUGGGACAAUUGGGUAUAGAGAAUAGUCCCUGGGACCGGGGGCUGAAGUCCUGAGUUCUGGUCCUGCCUAACUCCCGCUUUCUAUUAAGCUGACCCUGUGAAACAGCUGAUACAUGACCAUUUUUUACCAACAAAUUAGACAAAUUCAUGGGUGAACAAAUUUAAAAACCCUGUUGCCUCACCACUAUGAUAUGAUGAGGACACAUAUACUCACCCACCCUGCCUAACUCACAGCAUCACACCAGGGAUUGUCAACAUAUGGGAAAGAGCUUUGUACACUAUAAAGUUCAACCCCACAAACAGCAGCUGUGAAACACAACACAACCCUGAGGGGGUGGCCAUGGCCAAACACAGGAGGGGAAAAUAACCCAGCCACAAAAGCAUCUGAGAUACUGAGAUAUUGCAGAGGAAUGAAAUCUUCCAAAAGAUGGAAUCUAAACAUAAACAGACAUCAAGAGCAGGACUUGCAGUGGAAGAUGUGGUUAAAUGACUCCACAUGUGGUCAUCUGCCAUUGAAUACACUGCAAAUUCUGUAAAGCCUACUAAGGGAAAUUAGGGAGAUGAAACUGGGAGCUUACUGUAAAGAUACUGAUAUGAACACAAAUGUGAGAUCAGUGUUGAAAGAUGGACCCAAAAGGAUGGCUCUUAGUCCUUGUAACAUAUAGUUGUUGGAGACAUGUGUCUGUCAUACACAGAUAGGCCUCCAACUCACCUCUGAAAUCAGAUGCAAACUUCAAAUACUUUUGAAAAGGCUCCCUAGAGGACCUUUUACCCCAAAUGUAGAGAUUAAAUGAAAAAACCACUCUUUAAAGAGGGUAAAAACACACACACACACACACACACUCAAAAAACUUCUCCUUUCCACAUGUAUAGUCAUCUGGAAAACAGAUCUCCCAUUAAACAGAUGGUCAAAGCUGUACCACAACAUUAAAGUAAGCACAAAAAUUCAAGAGUUCCUUUCCUCACCCUCCUAAAAUGAAACAUCCCAGUAGGCUAGAAAUAACCUCAUGAGGAAGUUCAUUGAAGGUACUCCCACUUGGCAAUGCUAUACAGACACUCCCACUGGCAAUGCUAGUUAAGAAACUAGUUACUUGGAACUCAGAAAAAAUAAGAACUAUUUUGAUUAGGCAAGGCCCCUGUGAAAGGUGCCUAGUUCCAGCUGGGUCUCAGUAGUCUGAUGGUGUCAUGCACUCCUGGACCUCCUCUUAAUGAAACAAGGGAUCUUGACUUCGGGCCCCAUGCUGAGAAACUCUGAAGCCACUUUGGGCCAAAUAUAAUGUCCUCUCACUUCUAGCUUCAUAGCAGACCAUGUUUCCGUAUAGAAAUUUCUCUAGGAAGCUUACUAUCCUAUGUUAUCUCAAGCCGGGGCCUUCUCUUACACAAGAGCCUUAAACUGCCUCUGAGUAAGAAUUAAAGAUAUGUUAUAUUUUUGUGAAUUAUUCAUUUAUACAUUCAGCAAAGGUUAUUAAAAAGGAUGUACUAUUAGGAAGGAAGUUUGGAUGUACUUUGCUUUAGGAAAAUCAUUUUCAAGGUUGCUUCAUGCAAAGUGGGAAUAAUUAACUUGGUAUCUCAGUGGAUUUGCUAAGUGAUUACCCCACGUUUAAAUUGUCACUGAUUUUCAAGUAUGAUAAGAAAACCAGAGACCCAAGGAGGUGGACACAUUCCCACCUGUCAAUAGCCCUCAAGAGAAGUGCUUCAGUAUUACCCCAAAUGGCCAACUUUGCAUGGUUAAUCAUUUAGUUAGAGGCUCACAAGAUCAAAAACAAUUCUUUAAAAACUAUUUAUGUGAACACAGGGACAAUGAGCUGACACCUUCAAGGUGCAUGUCAGGGGCAGAAAUACAAGUUCCUGUUUCACCAGCAGAGCUCCAGUCGCUCAGUUGAAGCUGAAAGUCAGAACCAGCUGUUUCUGUCAUUCCCUCAUAUGAAAAGAACUCAGCUGUAGACCUUCUUUACUCCAUGAGAAAAAAAAAUUAAAAACCCACAAAUAGUUUUUAGGUUUCAUUUUUGCCUCUGCUUCCUCCAGAGCUACAAAGGUCACCCAAAUUUCUGUGACGAGGUUAUUUAGGAGAGCCUUUCUUUUGGAUGUCAACUUGUCAAACUUGUAGUUCAGAUGAGUGUGAUGUAGUCUUCUCCUAAAAUUUACUUUUGCACUAUUUGUUCAUAUAAUAGACACUCUCCGAGGACAGGCACUGAGGACAUCAACAUAAAUAAAACUGAAUUUCUGCCCUUGGGGACUGCAGUGUUAAAGGUGGGUUAGAUCCCAAAACCAACAAUACAGUGCAAUGUGGUACAUGCUGUAACUAACAUGCACAAAGCACAUUCCCAAAAAAAGAGAAUGAAAAGAGGGAGGAAAGUGGCAGAGGAGAAGAGCCUUUGGCCCAAGUUUUUGUUCAAUAAAAAUCAUAUUUUGUAGAUCAGAAGAUUAUAUGAUCUGCUAACCCCUUAGCAUGUAUAGCUCAUGAAGCAAGACAAAGUUCCCAUGAAGAGUUCGACAUCAGCAAGCCUCUGGGGCAAGUAAGCUGGAAAUGAUAACCCAUUUAUGGAUACCUACCUAGAACUGAUUUCCUAUUCAGAGUGCCUUCCUAGCUGAUAAGAACAAUACUGAAAUCUUUCUUUUCCGUGAGGGAAAAACAUGUUGAAUCAUUUAGCAAGUACCUACAGAGCCACCUACUAUUUAUGUGCCCAGCAGUCUACUGUGUGCUAUCAGGAGUAAGAAAAUGUAGAAAUAUUCUUGCUUUCAAAGGGUUUACAAUCUAAUUGUAGAGAUAAUACUAAAAUACAUGAGAGGAAAAAAGGCAAACUUAGCUUCUCUGGGAUAAGGACUAUAUCUCAUGCAACUUUUAAAAAAUUACCAUUUAUUCAACUUCCUACCACCAUUACAUACUUGUGGUAAUCAACUAUCUUCCUUCUCCCCUUGGGAUUUUGAAUUGGGAACAGAAUAGAAACAAGCUGCCAAAUAAGAAUCAAAAUACAGGGUCAGCCUCAAUUUCAGUGCAAGUGGUCCAUUGCUUUGGUUCACAGCCUCUACAGUCCAGAAAAUGAAAGAUUAAGGAUUUCAUCAAUCAGAUUAACCUCUCCUCUUUUCAUGGAAAGAACAAGUAAUGGGGAUAAGAGAAGGGCCUAGACUAUUCCCCGGGAAGUGUUACUUAUUAGGAAGCAAGUUCCCUUGUGGAAACACAAGGAUGGGGGAAAGGGAUUUCCCUCAACAUUGUUGUACCUACGCACAGAGAAUUCAAGUAACUUGCCAGACAUCACAGAGCUAGUAAGUGGUGAGCCUUAAAUCAAACUUAAUCAUCAGGUCAAGGAACACAGGUACAGGCAGGGGCUGCCUCAUGAAGUUUCUAUUUAGGAAAUGUGUCUUUCAAGUCAACAGACUGUCCUGAGUAGGACAGUCUAGAACAUUUUUCUAGACAAAAACAUCAUAUCCACAACUUCCAGCCUAGAAUCUGAUACAGCAAAGACACACAAUAAUUAUUUGUUAUAGAAUUGCGUAUACAAUUAAUUACCAAAUUGUGAGUUACAGACCACCUAGGAACUCAGAUGGGGCAGGUUUAUUAUUAUGGGCAAGAGUCUUUCUAGAAACAGAAUUCCAGCUGGGUCUUGAAGAAUGAGCAGAAUUAAGAUGAAUAAAGAGCAGAAAAAGUCAUGAAUAAACAAAUGAGACUCAGAAUUACAACAGAACAGUUUUAGUCUUGUAAACUUUGCUAUAAAGUGAAGCAUAUUUAGGUAUGAAGCAUGCUGAUUAAACUUUUUAUUGUUUUAGUACAAGUCUAAAAAAAAGUAUCUUUUUGGGGGAGCUGGAAAGUACUACUAAUAAAAACAGUGGCUGAAAUUCAUUAACCAUUUACUAUGCCAAGCACUGCUCUAAGCACUUCACAGGCACUAACACAUUUAAUCCCUACCAAUACCCUGUUGAGAGGUUGAGAUACAGAGAAUUUAAAUUACUUGCCCAAGGUCACAGACCUAGUAAGUGUUAGGCCUGGAGUCAAACUCAAUCCUCCUCUGGCUCAGGAAUAUUGUUCCAGACCUUUGCUCUUACCUGGAAGUUUCUAAUUAGAAAAUUUCUUUCAAGUCAUCUUCAGCAGUUCUCCCAUCUCAAAGUGUCUAAAUUUCUGAUUAUUACAAGACUGCAAAUCCCUUCUAGCCAUGCUCUAAUGCAAGUACUUGGAUAGUGAAAUAAACAAUAAGUCUCUCUAAAUCACAGAAUAUUCAGUUUAUUUGAUUUUAGUUCAGCAAUUCUUAAAUUUUCCUAUACAUCCAAACCACCUGUAGAAGUUUCUAAACCUGACAUAGGCCCAGGGACCCAAUACCAAACUUACAAAUCUUGGAGACUAAGAUCUUAUAUGUAUAUAUAUUUUAAAGAUUCAAGGGUAAUUCUGAUGGUUAGUGUGUUUGAGAAUCACUGCUGUAUGCUGUGU